rnacentral:rRNA from 1 species
AGAGUUUGAUCCUGGCUCAGAUUGAACGCUAGCGGGAUGCUUUACACAUGCAAGUCGGACGGCAGCACGGACUUCGGUCUGGUGGCGAGUGGCGAACGGGUGAGUAAUGUAUCGGAACGUGCCUAGUAGCGGGGGAUAACUACGCGAAAGCGUGGCUAAUACCGCAUACGCCCUGAGGGGGAAAGGGGGGGAUCGCAAGACCUCCCACUAUUAGAGCGGCCGAUAUCGGGUUAGCUAGUUGGUGAGGUAACGGCUCACCAAGGCUGUGAUCCGUAGCUGGUUUGAGAGGACGACCAGCCACACUGGGACUGAGACACGGCCCAGACUCCUACGGGAGGCAGCAGUGGGGAAUUUUGGACAAUGGGGGCAACCCUGAUCCAGCCAUCCCGCGUGUGCGAUGAAGGCCUUCGGGUUGUAAAGCACUUUUGGCAGGGAAGAAACGGCCACGGGGAA